CCUACGGGUGGCAGCAGUGAGGAAUAUUGGUCAAUGGCCGGAAGGCUGAACCAGCCAUGCCGCGUGAAGGUCAGUGCCCUAUGGGCGUUAAACUUCUUUUGUGCGGGAGCAAUAAUGGUCACGUGUGGCCAGACGAGAGUACCGUACGAAUAAGCAUCGGCUAACUCCGUGCCAGCAGCCGCGGGUAUACGGGGGAUGCAAGCGUUAUCCGGAUUUAAUGGGUUUAAAGGGUGCGUAGGCGGGGAGGUAAGUCAGCGGUGAAAAGCCCCCGGUCAACGGGGUGAAGUGCCAUUGAUACUGGCUUGCUGGAGUGCGGAUGAGGUAGGAGGAAUGUGUGGUGUAGCGGUGAAAUGCAUAGAUAUCACACAGAACACCGAUUGCGAAGGCAUCUCACGGAUCCGCGAUUGACGCUGAUGCACGAAAGCGUGGGGAUCAAACAGGAUUAGAUACCCUAGUAGUC
rnacentral:rRNA from 1 species